rnacentral:rRNA from 1 species
GACGAACGCUGGCGGCGUGCUUAACACAUGCAAGUCGAGCGGGUAAGGCCCUUCGGGUACGACGAGCGGCGAACGGGUGAGUAACACGUGGGUGACCUGCCUCUAGCUCUGGGAUAAGCCUGGGAAACGUGGGUCUAAUACCGGAUAUGACUCCACGGCGCAUGUCGUGGGGUGGAAAGCCUUGUGUGGCUAGAGAUGGGCCCGCGG